UACUCAGAUAAAAUGCUUAUGUAUGUAUAGGAAUGUCACAGUGCAAGAUGCUGCUAGCCUGGGCACAAAGUAUUAAAAUUAUUUUGUGAAGACUGGUGGUUGUAUUAAAACUGUUGUGCCAUUGUACUUCAAAUGAUUGAGAAGCUCAUUCAUAUUCCUUAUGCCUCAAAACUACUUUGCCUUCUGGGUAAAAGUAACCCAGCUUUACUCUCACAGAUUAAGGUCCCAAGUAGGGGAAAAAUAAUUCAAUGAAGGAAAAUAAAACUGUAGAAUAUUGAUCUUCAUUAUCAGCCUGUUUGGAGUUACCAACUAAAGAAAAUGGGAACAGACUGAGUUAGGACACUGGAUAAAGCUAAGAUGGUUCCAUCUUUCUUGCAAAUUAACUGUGACCUCAGACUAGCAAGUAGACAGGAACUUGCUCAAGGUUCCAGGCCAAGGACAAUAACAUGGCCACAGGCAGCAUCACAGUGUCAUAGGCCUGAUGCACAUGGCUUAAUGCUCGAUGUCACUCAAACUCUAACAGUGAGUGCUGUGUUUUCAUUUUGCACUUUACAACAAGUUACAUCAUUGAUUCUACUCGGCAGAAUGAUGUCACCUCUUUAACUACUCGUCUAGUUUAGCCAAAUCCCUGCACCCCGUUGUUAUAUAAAAGUUAAAAUGUUAGAAUCAGUACUUGGAAUCUCAAUUUUGAAAAUGAGAAUUUCAGACUAAUCAAAAAUGUAUAAUACAUUCUGGGUAGAAAUAAGAACCCACUUUCCAGGCAC